GUUGAUCCUGCGGGAGAUCGCUGCUAUUUGGGUUCGAUUUAGCCAUGCAAGUCUGGGGGAUUUAUCCACCGGCGAAAUGCUCAGUAACACGUCGAUAACUUGCCCUUAGGUCAGGGAUAACCUUGGGAAACUGAGGCUAACACCUGAUAGGAAAUUUGUUCUGGAAAUGAUAUAUUUCUUAAAAGCAAUGCCUAAGGAUAGGUCGGCGGCGGAUUAGGCUGUUGGUGAGGUAACGGCUCACCAAACCGAAGAUCUGUAGGGGCUCUGAGAGGAGUAGCCCCGAGAAGGGCACUGAGACACUGGCCCUAGCCCUACGGGGUGCAGCAGGCGCGAAACCUUUACAAUGCACGCAAGUGUGAUAAGGGAACCCAAAGUGCUUAGCUUUGCUAGGCUUUUGCCAAGAGUAAAUAUCUUGGAGAAUAAGCGGUGGGAAAGACUGGUGCCAGCCGCCGCGGUAACACCAGCGCCGCUAGUGGGGAUCGUAUUUAUUUGGCCUAAAGCGUCCGUAGCUGGCUUGGUAAAUCUCUUGUGAAAUUGUUCGGCUCAACCGAACAGCGUGCAGGAGAGACUGCCAUAGCUAGGGACCGGGAGGAGUCAGAGGUAUGCCUUGGGGAGCGGUAAAAUGCUAUAAUCCUCGGUAGAUCACCUGUGGCGAAGGCGUCUGACUAGAACGGGUCCGACAGUGAGGGACGAAAGCCAGGGGAGCAAACCGGAUUAGAUACCCGAGUAGUCCUGGCCGUAAACGCUGUGAGUUAGGUGUUGCGUAAUCUCCGUGAUUACGCAGUGUCGAAGCGAAGGUGUUAAACUCACCGCCUGGGAAGUAUGGUCGCAAGACUGAAACUUAAAGGAAUUGGCGGGGGAGCACUACAAGGGGUGCGGCGUGCGGUUUAAUCUAACUCCACACAGAGAAUCUCACCAGAGGCGACGGCAGGAUGAAGGUCAGUCUGAAGGGCUUACCUGACGAGCCGAGAGGUAGUGCAUGGCCGCCGUCAGCUCGUGCCGUAAGGUGUCUUGUUAAGUCAAGCAACGAGCGAGACCUGUAUUCACAAUUGCUAACGACUCAUUUUGAGAAUCGAGCACAUUGUGAGGACUGCCCUGGAAACAGGGAGGAAGGUGCAGGCAACGGUAGGUCUGUAUGCUCCGAAUCUUCUGGGCUACACGCGCGCAACAAUGGUAUAGACAAUGGGUUGCAACUCCGAAAGGAGAAGCUAAACCUCGAAACUAUAUCUUAGUUCGGAUUGAGGGCUGUAACUCGCCCUCAUGACGCUGGAAUCCCUAGUAAUCGAACGUCAUCAGCGUUCGGUGAAUAUGUCCCUGCUCCUUGCACACACCGCCCGUCAAACCACCCGAGUAGGGUCUAGAUGAGGACUAAUUUUUAAUUAGGUCGAAUCUAAGCUUUGCGAGGAGGGUUAAGUCGUCACAAGGUA
rnacentral:rRNA from 1 species